rnacentral:rRNA from 1 species
UACAGAGGUCUCAAGCGUUGUUCGGAUUCAUUGGGCGUAAAGGGUGUGUAGGUGGCGCCGUAAGUCGGGUGUGAAAUUUCGGAGCUUAACUCCGAAACUGCAUUCGAUACUGCCGUGCUUGAGGACUUGGAGAGGAGACUGGAAUUUACGGUGUAGCGGUGAAAUGCGUAGAUAUCGUAAGGAAGACCAGUGGCGAAGGCGGGUCUCUGGACAGUUCCUGACGCUGAGGCACGAAGGCCAGGGGAGCAAACGGG